UACGAAGGGGGCUAGCGUUGUUCGGAAUUACUGGGCGUAAAGCGCGCGCAGGCGGCUAUCCAAGUCAGUGGUGAAAGCCCGGAGCUCAACUCCGGAACUGCCAUUGAAACUGUUUAGCUUGAGUAUGAGAGAGGUGAGUGGAAUUCCCAGUGUAGAGGUGAAAUUCGUAGAUAUUGGGAAGAACACCGGUGGCGAAGGCGGCUCUCUGGACCGUAACUGACGCUGAGGCGCGAAAGCGUGGGAGCAAACAGG
rnacentral:rRNA from 1 species